rnacentral:rRNA from 1 species
AGUGAACGCUGGCGGUAGGCUUAACACAUGCAAGUCGAACGGCAGCACAGUAAGAGCUUGCUCUUACGGGUGGCGAGUGGCGGACGGGUGAGGAAUACAUCGGAAUCUACUUUUUCGUGGGGGAUAACGUAGGGAAACUUACGCUAAUACCGCAUACGACCUACGGGUGAAAGCAGGGGCUCUUCGGACUUUGCGCGAUUGAAUGAGCCGAUGUCGGAUUAGUUAGUUGGCGGGGUAAAGGCCCACCAAGGCGACGAUCCGUAGCUGGUCUGAGAGGAUGAUCAGCCACACUGGAACUGAGACACGGUCCAGACUCCUACGGGAGGCAGCAGUGGGGAAUAUUGGACAAAGGGCGGAAGCCUGAUCCAGCCAUACCGCGUGGGUGAAGAAGGCCUUCGGGUUGUAAAGCCCUUUUGUUGGGAAAGAAAAGCAGCAGGUUAAUACCACGCUGUUCUGACGGUACCCAAAGAAUAAGCACCGGCUAACUUCGUG